CCGCCUGGGGAGUACGGCCGCAAGGUUAAAACUCAAAUGAAUUGACGGGGGCCCGCACAAGCGGUGGAGCAUGUGGUUUAAUUCGAUGCAACGCGAAGAACCUUACCUGGUCUUGACAUCCACGGAAGUUUUCAGAGAUGAGAAUGUGCCUUCGGGAACCGUGAGACAGGUGCUGCAUGGCUGUCGUCAGCUCGUGUUGUGAAAUGUUGGGUUAAGUCCCGCAACGAGCGCAACCCUUAUCCUUUGUUGCCAGCGGUCCGGCCGGGAACUCAAAGGAGACUGCCAGUGAUAAACUGGAGGAAGGUGGGGAUGACGUCAAGUCAUCAUGGCCCUUACGACCAGGGCUACACACGUGCUACAAUGGCGCAUACAAAGAGAAGCGACCUCGCGAGAGCAAGCGGACCUCAUAAAGUGCGUCGUAGUCCGGAUUGGAGUCUGCAACUCGACUCCAUGAAGUCGGAAUCGCUAGUAAUCGUGGAUCAGAAUGCCACGGUGAAUACGUUCCCGGGCCUUGUACACACCGCCCGUCACACCAUGGGAGUGGGUUGCAAAAGAAGUAGGUAGCUUAACCUUCGGGAGGGCGCUUACCACUUUGUGAUUCAUGACUGGGGUGAAGUCGUAACAAGGUAACCGUAGGGGAACCUGCGGUUGGAUCACCUCCUUA
rnacentral:rRNA from 1 species